GCAGAUUAGUGCAAUGAAUUUAAGAUUCAUAUAUAAAUAUUAUUAUUUUUCUAGAA
rnacentral:tRNA from 1 species